rnacentral:rRNA from 1 species
AUUGAACGCUGGCGGCAUGCUUUACACAUGCAAGUCGAACGGUAACAGGCCGCAAGGUGCUGACGAGUGGCGAACGGGUGCGUAAUGCCUCGGAACGUGCCCAGUCGUGGGGGAUAACUACUCGAAAGAGUAGCUAAUACCGCAUACGAUCUAUGGAUGAAAGCGGGGGACCGUAAGGCCUCGCGCGAUUGGAGCGGCCGAUGUCAGAUUAGGUAGUUGGUGGGGUAAAGGCUCACCAAGCCAACGAUCUGUAGCUGGUCUGAGAGGACAACCAGCCACACUGGGACUGAGACACGGCCCAGACUCCUACGGGAGGCAGCAGUGGGGAAUUUUGGACAAUGGGCGCAAGCCUGAUCCAGCAAUGCCGCGUGCAGGAAGAAGGCCUUCGGGUUGUAAACUGCUUUUGUACGGAACGAAACGGCUCUGGUUAAUACCCGGGGCUAAUGACGGUACCGUAAGAAUAAGCACCGGCUAACUACGUG